ACGGUCGCCCCUGUAAUUAUAACCAUAUGGACAGGAGUCGGGUUGGCCUGGCCGUGUGACGUGGCACAGUCAAGACAGGACACGACGCGAGAGAGGACGUGGAUGUUUAUAGAGUAAAUAAUGUUUUGAAAGGAAUGAAUUUGAACCGACAUAAAUGACUAUAGUGUUGCUCCUUGCGGUGCCCUUUGUAAUUAGGCGAUAAGCUUGGACGAGCAAAGCCAGGCGUGGCGGCAUGGUGGAUUUGAGGUGGAAAUGCCGCCGUGCUAAUUAAUACCUAAAACAUCCUUUUGUUUGAUACCGACAAACUCUGUAUGUGGUCCGGACGCUAACAGGACGCGGCGGUCACCGAAUUCCUCAAAGGGUCAUUACACCAACAGAUCCCGAGGUGAAAGCACACAGACACAUUUUUGCGGAGCAAAAAUACAGCGUAGAGUACAGAGGGCUGGGAAACAGAAUGAAGUUGAUUAUGGCUGUCACCCGUAAUUGAACGUGCACGUGACAUUCUGGUAGUACUGCUGGGCUGGAGAUGCGGCAAGUUCAACCAAGAUAGAGACGGGAACAGAGAGAUCGAGAGAACUGAGGACGUGGCAAGGGUACUGGGCCUGUGAUGGGUGGCGCGCGGGGCAGGGAGGCAGAAAUAACACAUAAAGAUGCCCGUCGAUCCCUGACCCUGAAGAGAACGCCGGCCUAGAGUAUUACCUUCUAUGACCGCUGUAUUGACACUCGGAGAGUGGGGCAAGAUGCGGCGGGUACGGGCGGUGGAGGGACCGGAGAUCUCAGACUCAAGACUACUCGUCAGAAGGAAAGGCGAUCCACCAUUUUGAAAACAGUUUGGUCGCAACGCCACUGGGGUCCGAACAGUCGUAUGUGGUGACCAUCUCAGACGGUGGUGACUCCCAAGUGAUGAAUGAAUCGUCUAAGCAGUUUGGGUCAACGUCCUUUUGUAUGUCAUCGAGUUACAACGCCGCAGGGAUACGUACAUGACGAUUACGUCAGACGAUGGCGGUUCCAGUAGGUCAAUCUUCGAAGCAGCUGCGGGUAAACGUCUUUCGGUAUAUCGUCAAGGUCAACCUACCGGACAAGAGCGACGACGGCGAGGUGUUCCUGACAGACGUAUAUCAUGUCCAUCAGGACGACGCAUUCCCGCCACACCCAACAUAGAGACUCUUACCGCCACAAGGGAAGUAGGUCGAG